AACUCUCUUUACUAUCAAACUUAAACGUCGCGUUUUGUAUUAGGGUUAGCCGUGUCUCCAUCUCGCGUCUCCAGCGUUUCCCCAUCGAUUGCUCUUUCGACUUCUUCAUCCGGUGUGAGAUGAAGCAGUAACGAUUUCCCCUCAUAAAGUUCUCCUUAAUCAAUCAUACACGAUCUCCAUUCAAUGCGAUCCUGGAGAGUGAAAGGCGGUGGAGGCUCUACUAUAAAAGGUGCGAUUUCAUGCUUUCGGAAUCAUUCUUCAAUCGUUCAGAACAUGGCUAACAAUAUGGUCUUCCUACCGAUCUCCAGACUGGCCGUUCUUCAUCCUCCGUUCAAGUUCGCCUGCUCCGAUUUUGGAGGCCAGUAACGUCCGGCGUGGUGGAGAGCUUAUGGGAGUCGACAUGCUCCUUCUUGAUUCUCAGUAUGUGUAGAGGCUGGCAUGUUAGCUCUUCUUCGCGAUGCCACAUAGGUGAAAUCAUGAGGACUUCAAUGAAGGUAUAAUCCAAGUGGAGGCAAAGAAAAAAACAAGUUUGAACUACUACGCCUAAUCUUUCCGCAUAAGUUACUUUCUGUUUGCUCUCAAUCUUCAACUCCGGUUUGGUUCUUAUCAUAUACUCGAAUUAGGAUAUAGAUAUAAUUUAGUUCAAAGAAGUUGAUCAUGGAACUUUUGGGAAUAUUUGGCGAGCUGUCAAUAAACAGAAGGUGAAGUUGUUGCAAUUAAAAAAGUGAAGAAGACAUAUUUCUCUUUGGAAGCAACUAGAAGCGUACAAGCAACACAGUGAAAUUCCAGGUGUUCUCUCCAUGAAAGUAUAGAACAUUUGCGUCAAAAGGUGGAGAUGGAAGAUUUUUCCAAAAUAGAAACAAAGAUAAUGCUUCUGAAGAAACUGCUGUUCAAGAUAAAAAAAGAGUGAGCAUCAAGAAUGUUUACUAUGUAAUGAAUACAAACAAAGGUAGGAAUGUUUGUUUAAGAACCUUUGUUUGUGUGUCUAUAGCAAGAUUGGGAAAAAACCCGUGAUCAGUCCUCUUAUAUGAUCUCUUUUUAAUU